GAGCCGGAGGGAAACCGAGUCUUAACCGGGCGUUAAGUUGCAGGGUAUAGACCCGAAACCCGGUGAUCUAGCCAUGGGCAGGUUGAAGGUUGGGUAACACUAACUGGAGGACCGAACCGACUAAUGUUGAAAAAUUAGCGGAUGACCUGUGGCUGGGGGUGAAAGGCCAAUCAAACCGGGAGAUAGCUGGUUCUCCCCGAAAGCUAUUUAGGUAGCGCCUCGUGAAUUCAUCUCCGGGGGUAGAGCACUGUUUCGGCUAGGGGGCCAUCCCGGCUUACCAACCCGAUGCAAACUGCGAAUACCGGAGAAUGUUAUCACGGGAGACACACGGCGGGUGCUAACGUCCGUCGUGAAGAGGGAAACAACCCAGACCGCCAGCUAAGGUCCCAAAGUCAUGGUUAAGUGGGAAACGAUGUGGGAAGGCCCAGACAGCCAGGAUGUUGGCUUAGAAGCAGCCAUCAUUUAAAGAAAGCGUAAUAGCUCACUGGUCGAGUCGGCCUGCGCGGAAGAUGUAACGGGGCUAAACCAUGCACCGAAGCUGCGGCAGCGAACGUAUCACCCAAGACAACUUUACGGAGUUGACGAUUGACGGAGCGAAGCGACGUCAAAGCGUUCAUUAAAGUCGAGUUGGCUUAGGGAUACGUUCGUUGGGUAGGGGAGCGUUCUGUAAGCCUGUGAAGGUGUGUCGUGAGGCAUGCUGGAGGUAUCAGAAGUGCGAAUGCUGACAUAAGUAACGAUAAAGCGGGUGAAAAGCCCGCUCGCCGGAAGACCAAGGGUUCCUGUCCAACGUUAAUCGGGGCAGGGUGAGUCGACCCCUAAGGCGAGGCCGAAAGGCGUAGUCGAUGGGAAACGGGUUAAUAUUCCCGUACUUGGUGUUACUGCGAAGGGGGGACGGAGAAGGCUAUGUUGGCCGGGCGACGGUUGUCCCGGUUUAAGCGUGUAGGUGUGUGUUCCAGGUAAAUCCGGUU
rnacentral:rRNA from 1 species